rnacentral:rRNA from 1 species
AAUGAGGACUAGUAUGAAUGGCAUCACGAGGGUUACACUGUCUCCUUUUUCUAAUCAAUGAAACUAAUCUCCCCGUGAAGAAGCGGGGAUAUGUAUAUAAGACGAGAAGACCCUAUGGAGCUUCAAACUAUUUAGCACUGGCUUUAUAUAUCCCUACUUCAGAGUUCUUACACUUAUUCUAGCCUCUUGACUAAUAGUUUUAGGUUGGGGUGACCACGGAGCAAAAAUUAACCUCCACGAUGAACAGAGCUACUCUUGAGCCAAAAGCCACAACUUUAAGCACCAAUAAACUGACACAAAUUGACCCAAUAUUUUGAACAACGAACCAAGUUACCCUAGGGAUAACAGCGCAAUCCACCUUAAGAGCCCCUAUCGACAGGUGGGUUUACGACCUCGAUGUUGGAUCAGGGUAUCCCAGUGGUGCAGCCGCUACUAAUGGUUCGUUUGUUCAACGAUUAAAACCCUACGUGAU